rnacentral:rRNA from 2 species
GUGACCCCAGGUCAGUCGGGAAUACCC